GACGAACGCUGGCGGCGUGCUUAACACAUGCAAGUCGAACGGUGAAGCGCUUUCCUUUUUGGUUGGUGUGGAUGAGUGGCGAACGGGUGAGUAACACGUGAGUAACCUGCCCCCUUCUUCUGGAUAACCGCAUGAAAGUGUGGCUAAUACGGGAUAUUCUGCGCCUGCUGCAUGGUGGGUGUGGGAAAGAUUGUGCCUUUGGGUGUUUUCGGUGGGGGAUGGGCUCGCGGCCUAUCAGCUUGUUGGUGGGGUGAUGGCCUACCAAGGCGGUGACGGGUAGCCGGCGUGGGGGGGUGGGCGGUCAAACUGGGAUGGAGACACGGCCCAGCAUCCUACGGGAGGCAGCAGGGGGGAAUAUGAGACAAGGGGCGAAAGCCUGGGGCGGGGACGCCGGGUGAGGGAGGGGGGCCUUGGGGUUGUGAACCUCUUUCGCCAGGGAAGGAGGCCUGCUCCUGGGGGGGGGGUUGAGGGUAGUGGGAAAAGAAGCGCCGGCAAACUACGG
rnacentral:rRNA from 1 species